rnacentral:rRNA from 5 species
AUAUCAAUAAGCGGAGGAAAAGAAACCAACAGGGAUUGCCCCAGUAACGGCGAGUGAAGCGGCAAGAGCUCAAAUUUGAAAUCUGGCCUCCCCCGGGGGCCCGAGUUGUAAUUUGCAGAGGAUGCUUCGGGUGCGGCCGCCGUCUAAGUUCCUUGGAACAGGACGUCAGAGAGGGUGAGAAUCCCGUCUUGGGCGGGCGGUCCGCGCCAGUGUGAAGCUCCUUCGACGAGUCGAGUUGUUUGGGAAUGCAGCUCUAAGCGGGUGGUAAAUUUCAUCUAAAGCUAAAUAUUGGCCGGAGACCGAUAGCGCACAAGUAGAGUGAUCGAAAGGUUAAAAGCACCUUGAAAAGGGAGUUAAACAGCACGUGAAAUUGUUGAAAGGGAAGCGCUUGCGGCCAGACUCGGGGGCGGGGUUCAGCGGGUGCUCGUCGCCCGUGUAUUCCUCGUCUCCCGGGCCAGCAUCAGUUUCGACGGCCGGUCAAAGGCCCCCGGAAUGUGUCGUCUCUCGGGACGUCUUAUAGCCGGGGGUGCAAUGCGGCCUGUCGGGACUGAGGAACGCGCUCCGGCUCGGAUGCUGGCGUAAUGGCCGUAAGCGGC